rnacentral:rRNA from 1 species
CGCGUAGGCGGCUUGGUAAGGGGGCGGUGAAAGCCCGGGGCUCAACCCCGGGUCUGCCGGACCGACUGCCGAGCUCGAGCACACUAGGGGCAGGUGGAAUUCCGGGUGUAGCGGUGGAAUGCGUAGAGAUCCGGAGGAACACCGGUGGCGAAGGCGGCCUGCUGGGGUGUGGCUGACGCUGAGGCGCGACAGCGUGGGGAGCAAACAGGAUUAGAUACCCUGGUAGUCCACGCCGUAAACGAUGGGCACUAGGUGCUCGGGGGAGCGACCCCUUGGGUGCCGGCGCUAACGCAUUAAGUGCCCCGCCUGGGGAGUACGGCCGCAAGGCUGAA